CACGUAGGAGGCGAGCGUUGUCCGGAAUCAUUGGGCGUAAAGAGCGCGCAGGCGGCCCGGCAAGUCGGGUGUGAAAUCCCGGGGCUCAACCCCGGGACUGCAUUCGAUACUGCCGGGCUAGAGGUAGGUAGGGGAGAUCGGAAUUCCUGGUGUAGCGGUGAAAUGCGCCAGAUAUCGGAGGAACACCUAUGGCGAAGGCAGCUCGCUGGGACGUUACUGACGCUGAGACGCGAAAGCGUGGGGAGCAACAGG
rnacentral:rRNA from 1 species